rnacentral:lncRNA from 10 species
CCGGGCAGAGCCCAUGGCCAGAUUCUUUCUUCUCAGGAUCCAGCGCUUUCUUUGCAAAGCACUGAGUGUGCUUCCAGGAGCCUCCCAGAACCUAUCGGCAUGCCCUGAGCUGAGGGACAUGGUGUCCCUGCCACCUGAAGGGCCCUCCACAGCAUUUGGAGUCAGAGCUGGCGUGGGAUCCUGGAAAAGCUGAAUGAACGCAGGCUUUGUGUGUGGACGGACCUGGGUAUGCAUCCUGGCACCAGCUGGGUCUCAGUGACCACCCCUGUGAAAUGGGGGUAACAACGGUCCCUUCCCCAUACGACCCUGCCAUGUAAGGUUCAGUCAACCCCACUUGCCCUCCCCUUGCUUGUCCUUCUACUUUAUGUUCUCCUGAGACUCUGCAAACCAGAGAAGGGACAAGCUGAGGCAGGAGGCCUUGAGCCUUGAGAGUGGAUGGGAGAAGGAGAAUGUGGAGAAAUGGGGCAGCUGUGUUUGCU